rnacentral:lncRNA from 1 species
UUUAACUUCAAACAUAUUUAGAAGGUAACAUCAUGAGGUAUAAGAUUGUCUAUCUUUUUCUACUUUAAAGCAAAUUGAAAAAUUAAAAACAUCACUAUUUUAGAGCUUUCAUAAAAAGUCAAUUUAUAAGUUGACUGGUUAUCUAAAAAUUGACUUACUGUAAGAGAAAUUAGAUAGACAGAUUAUUACAGGUGUUUUUCUUAAUAUACUUAGGGGCUAGUUUUUAGGUGUAUACAAGUUUAUGAUAGAGAAUUUCUCCUCUUAGUGUAUAGAUUUCCUUUCUAUUCCUAUUAAUAACAGCUUGUGUUUUGAACCUACUAAAUGGAGUAUUAGCAAAGGAUUAAAUCAGCUUUCUUUCUUGUUAGUGUUUAAAUGUAUGUGGGAUUUUUAAAAGUCCCUUUAUUUUCAUGUUUCCUAUGUGGUUUUAUUUUAUGUCAUUUGUAAAUAGAUUACAUAUUGCCUUUGUUGAAUUUUGGAAAGAAUUGAUAGAAUCACACUUGUGUGUAAAUUACUGUACAGUUUAUUACUGUAAAUAUAAACCUAACUGUUCUUAAACUUUUAGCUUACAGAUUUUAUUUUACUUAUAGAUCCAGGAAUUUUUAUGUAGAAUAAGAAUCAUUUUUCUUAAAGAAAAAAGAAACUGAGAAGUUUAAUUCAGACUCUAAAUACAAAUUAAAAAAUCUGAUUCUGGAGUUCCCGUCGUGGCGCAGUGGUUAACGAAUCCGACUAAGAACCAUGAGGUUGCGGGUUCGAUCCCUGCCCUUGCUCAGUGGGUUGACGAUCCGGCGGCAACGCUGGAUCCUUAACCCACUGAGCUAGGCCAGGGAUCAAACCCUCAACCUCAUGGUUCCCAGUCGGAUUCGCUAACCACUGAGCCAUGAUGGGAAUGCUUUCAGUUGACUCUUAAGCAACAUAAGGAUUAAGGGUGCCAACCCUCCACAGUCCAAAAUCAUUGUAUAAUUUUACAGCCAGCCUUCUGUAUCCAAGGAUUCGAAUCUGCAGAUUCAAGUAACUACAGAUGAUGUAGUGCUGUAAUAUACAUUUAUUAAAAAAAAAGGCCAUGUGUAAAUAGACCUGUGUGGUUCAAACUCAUCUUGUUCAAAGGUUAGCAAUACUUCUCAUAAGGUUAAUAUUCACUCACUUUAGAAGAUAAACAGAAUUACUAUCUUAGUCCUUCUGGAACAAAAUUAAUAGCUUUGGAUUCAUUCCUUGCUAUGGCCAGUAGUAUUUCAUGGCUAUUCCACAAUUUGUGCAUACAUGUCUUCAUUGAUGGACAUUUGGGCUGUUCCUGGCUUUUGGCUAUUUCUGGCUUUUAGCUAUUGUGUACUGUACUGUUUUAAGUGUGCCUGUCAUGUACUUAUUCGGUGCUUUUCAGUUCUUUGGGGUAUAUUGUUGGGUCUUAUGAUGUAUUUAGCUUUUUGAUGAGCUAUCAAAUUGUUUUCCACAGCCACUGAACCAUUUUUCAUUACCACCAGCUAUGUACAAAGGUUCUCAUCUCUCCACAUCCUCACCAACACUUGUUUUCCUUUUAAAAAUGUAUUAUAGGUGUUCCCAUCAUAGCUCAGUGGUUAAUGAAUCUGACUAGUAUCCAUGAGGAUGAGGUUCGCUCCCUGGCCUUGCUCAGUGGGUUAAGGAUCCAGCAUUGCCGUGAGCUGCGGUGUAGGUUGCAAACGCAGCUUGGAUUCCAUGUUGCUGUGGUUGUGGUGUAAGCUGACAGCUACAGCUCCAGUUUGACCCCUAGCGUGGGAACUUCCAUGUGCCGCACAUGUGUCCCUACAAAGCAAAAAAAAAAA